rnacentral:rRNA from 1 species
GACGAACGCUGGCGGCGUGCUUAACACAUGCAAGUCGAACGGAAAGGCCCAGCUUGCUGGGUGCUCGAGUGGCGAACGGGUGAGUAACACGUGGGUGAUCUGCCCCUAACUUCGGGAUAAGCUUGGGAAACUGGGUCUAAUACCGGAUAGGACAAUCGUUUAGUGUCGGUUGUGGAAAGUUUUUUCGGUUAGGGAUGAGCCCGCGGCCUAUCAGCUUGUUGGUGGGGUAAUGGCCUACCAAGGCGUCGACGGGUAGCCGGCCUGAGAGGGUGGACGGCCAAAUUGGAACUGGAAGACGGCCCACACCCAAAGGGGGGGCAGGAGUGGGAAAUGUUGCACAAUGGGCGCAAGCCUAAGGCAGCGACCCCGGAGGGGGAAAACCGCCCUUCGGUUUAUAACCCUGUUUCGCAGGGAGCGAAGGUUUGAGAGCGGAGCCUGUAUAAGAAGCCCCGGUGAACUCCUU